rnacentral:tRNA from 1 species
GGAGAUGUACUCAAGUGGCUGAAGAGGUCGCACUCGAAAUGCGAUAGACCUUCACGGGUGCGUGGGUUCAAAUCCCACCAUCUCCG